CAGUGGCGCACGGGUGAGUAACGCGUGGAUAUCUGCCUUUUGGUUCGGAAUAACCCCGGGAAACUGGGGCUAAUACCGGAUGGUUCCUUCGGGAUAAAGAUUUAUCGCCAAAAGAUGAGUCCGCGUACGAUUAGCUAGUUGGUGAGGUAAUGGCUCACCAAGGCGACGAUCGUUAGCUGGUCUGAGAGGACGAUCAGCCACACUGGGACUGAGACACGGCCCAG
rnacentral:rRNA from 1 species